rnacentral:rRNA from 1 species
GGUUAAGUGACUAAGCGUACACGGUGGAUGCCUAGGCAGUCAGAGGCGAUGAAGGGCGUGCUAAUCUGCGAAAAGCGUCGGUAAGGUGAUAUGAACCGUUAUAACCGGCGAUACCCGAAUGGGGAAACCCAGUGUGUUUCGACACACUAUCAUGUCAUGAAUACAUAGUGGCAUGAGGCGAACCGGGGGAACUGAAACAUCUAAGUACCCCGAGGAAAAGAAAUCAACCGAGAUUCCCCCAGUAGCGGCGAGCGAACGGGGAGGAGCCCAGAACCUGAAUCGGCUUGUGUGUUAGUGGAAGCGUCUGGAAAGUCGCGCAGCAAAGGGUGAUAGCCCCGUACACUAAAAUGCACAGGUCGUGAGUUCGAUGAGUAGGGCGGGACACGUGACAUCCUGUCUGAAUAUGGGGGGACCAUCCUCCAAGGCUAAAUACUCCUGACUGACCGAUAGUGAACCAGUACCGUGAGGGAAAGGCGAAAAGAACCCCGGCGAGGGGAGUGAAAUAGAACCUGAAACCGUGUACGUACAAGCAGUGGGAGCACCUUCGUGGUGUGACUGCGUACCUUUUGUAUAAUGGGUCAGCGACUUAUAUUUUGUAGCAAGGUUAACCGUAUAGGGGAGCCGUAGGGAAACCGAGUCUUAACUGGGCGACUAGUUGCAAGGUAUAGACCCGAAACCCGGUGAUCUAGCCAUGGGCAGGUUGAAGGUUGGGUAACACUAACUGGAGGACCGAACCGACUAAUGUUGAAAAAUUAGCGGAUGACUUGUGGCUGGGGGUGAAAGGCCAAUCAAACCGGGAGAUAGCUGGUUCUCCCCGAAAGCUAUUUAGGUAGCGCCUCGUGAACUCAUCUUCGGGGGUAGAGCACUGUUUCGGCUAGGGGGCCAUCCCGGCUUACCAAACCGAUGCAAACUCCGAAUACCGAAGAAUGUUAUCACGGGAGACACACGGCGGGUGCUAACGUCCGUCGUGAAGAGGGAAACAACCCAGACCGCCAGCUAAGGUCCCAAAGUCAUGGUUAAGUGGGAAACGAUGUGGGAAGGCAUAGACAGCCAGGAUGUUGGCUUAGAAGCAGCCAUCAUUUAAAGAAAGCGUAAUAGCUCACUGGUCGAGUCGGCCUGCGCGGAAGAUGUAACGGGGCUAAACCAUGCACCGAAGCUGCGGCAGCGACGCUUAGGCGUUGUUGGGUAGGGGAGCGUUCUGUAAGCCGUUGAAGGUGGCCUGUGAGGGUUGCUGGAGGUAUCAGAAGUGCGAAUGCUGACAUAAGUAACGAUAAAGCGGGUGAAAAGCCCGCUCGCCGGAAGACCAAGGGUUCCUGUCCAACGUUAAUCGGGGCAGGGUGAGUCGACCCCUAAGGCGAGGCUGAAAAGCGUAGUCGAUGGGAAACAGGUUAAUAUUCCUGUACUUGGUGUUACUGCGAAGGGGGGACGGAGAAGGCUAGGCUGGCCGGGCGACGGUUGUCCCGGUUUAAGCGUGUAGGGGGUGUGACCUGGUAAAUCCGGUUGCAUGCUAACCCUGAGGCGUGAUGACGAUGCACUACGGUGCAGAAGUAGUUGAUGCCCUGCUUCCAGGAAAAUCCUCUAAGCUCCAGGUAACAUUAAAUCGUACCCCAAACCGACACAGGUGGUCAGGUAGAGAAUACCAAGGCGCUUGAGAGAACUCGGGUGAAGGAACUAGGCAAAAUGGUGCCGUAACUUCGGGAGAAGGCACGCUGGCAUGUAGGUGAAGUCCCUUGCGGAUGGAGCUGAAGCCAGUCGAAGAUACCAGCUGGCUGCAACUGUUUAAUAAAAACACAGCACUGUGCAAACACGAAAGUGGACGUAUACGGUGUGACGCCUGCCCGGUGCUGGAAGGUUAAUUGAUGGGGUCAGCCGCAAGGCGAAGCUCUUGAUCGAAGCCCCAGUAAACGGCGGCCGUAACUAUAACGGUCCUAAGGUAGCGAAAUUCCUUGUCGGGUAAGUUCCGACCUGCACGAAUGGCGUAAUGAUGGCCAGGCUGUCUCCACCCGAGACUCAGUGAAAUUGAACUCGCUGUGAAGAUGCAGUGUACCCGCGGCAAGACGGAAAGACCCCGUGAACCUUUACUAUAGCUUGACACUGAACAUUGAGCCUUGAUGUGUAGGAUAGGUGGGAGGCUUUGAAGCGUGGACGCCAGUCUGCGUGGAGCCAUCCUUGAAAUACCACCCUUUAAUGUUUGAUGUUCUAACUCGGCCCCGUGAUCCGGGGUGAGGACAGUGUCUGGUGGGUAGUUUGACUGGGGCGGUCUCCUCCCAAAGAGUAACGGAGGAGCACGAAGGUUAGCUAAUCACGGUCGGACAUCGUGAGGUUAGUGCAAAGGCAUAAGCUAGCUUGACUGCGAGAGUGACGGCUCGAGCAGGUACGAAAGUAGGUCUUAGUGAUCCGGUGGUUCUGAAUGGAAGGGCCAUCGCUCAACGGAUAAAAGGUACUCCGGGGAUAACAGGCUGAUACCGCCCAAGAGUUCAUAUCGACGGCGGUGUUUGGCACCUCGAUGUCGGCUCAUCACAUCCUGGGGCUGAAGUAGGUCCCAAGGGUAUGGCUGUUCGCCAUUUAAAGUGGUACGCGAGCUGGGUUUAGAACGUCGUGAGACAGUUCGGUCCCUAUCUGCCGUGGGCGUUGGAAGAUUGAGAGGGGUUGCUCCUAGUACGAGAGGACCGGAGUGAACGCACCACUGGUGUUCGGGUUGUCAUGCCAAUGGCAUUGCCCGGUAGCUAAGUGCGGAAAAGAUAAGCGCUGAAAGCAUCUAAGCGCGAAACUUGCCUCAAGAUGAGUCUUCCCUGGGCCUUCAAGGCCCCUGAAGGAACGUUUAAGACUAAGACGUUGAUAGGCUGGGUGUGUAAGUGCAGCGAUGCAUUGAGCUAACCAGUACUAAUGAUCCGUGAGGCUUAACCUU